GCGGGUGUGGAUCGCUUUGACUGGCUAACCUCCCUCUCACGCUGCCGCUCACCUCUCCCGUAGCCUCUCACCUAUUCCAUGUUCUCCCAUUCCUCCACUCUGUAUCUCACACACACACAAUUUCCUCACCCUAUCCCUCAACAAUCAUCCAUCUUCACUACACUCAUCAAAAGGACAAUAAUGAAUUCCCUCAGUAAAGGAAUUCCAACGUUGUGAAGUUUUGCGUUAUGAUAAAUGCAAUACAGCGACAGGUUGAGAUCCAGUCAGUCACAAGAUACGAGCCUAAAGGAAUUCAUUAUUCACCUCACUCACACCCAUUGAGUAAAAGAUAUCAACAGUAGGGGAAAAAAUACCCAAAUUAUACAAAAAAAAAAUCCCAGGAAACAGGAAAAACAAAUACCAGUAAUCCCCCCAAAUAAAAAUAUAUAAUAAUGUGAUAUAAAACAACAUAGACAUUAAUUCUGAUAUAAAUUCGUCUUUAAGUUACUGCUCAUAAAUACAUAGAGAGAAACUACAGUAUGUUAGAAAAUAAUGAACUUUCCCAGGUAUAUAAAGAAAAAGAGUUAGUGUUUAAUAAAGUUCCUGAAUGCAAUGGUUCGUAUUUUAGAUUGAAAUAGACAAUCAGUUCGAAGAGAAAGUUUUUUUAUGCGACGAAGAGAAUGAGGAAAUGAAAUAGUGAUAAUAAAAGGAUGUUAAACGAUAUAGAAAAGAAAGAGGAAAUAGUGAAAGGGCCUCAUAGUGAAAUGUGAUAAAAAACAUAGGAAGUUAUAUGGAAGAAAACACAGAAGAAUAGAGAUAAUGUGAAAAAUCGUCAUUACACAAAAUUGAUAUAAAUAAAGAAUAACAAUAACAAAAACAGGGAAGGUAAGAGAAAACAGAAGUUAAUAAAGACAAAGAGAAACAACAAACAAUAACAAAUAAGAAAAAUAAACAAGGCUAUUGAGAACUGCUUGACGCUAACCCCCUUCCUUGACGCAAACAAUCCCCUCCCUCCUUCCUUGAC